AGAGACAGCAGCAGCCGCGGGAAUACGAAGGGUGCAAGCGUUAAUCGGAAUUACUGGGCGUAAAGCGUGCGUAGGCGGUGAGUUAAGUCUGCUGUGAAAUCCCCGGGCUCAACCUGGGAAUGGCAGUGGAUACUGGCUCGCUAGAGUGUGUCAGAGGAUGGUGGAAUUCCCGGUGUAGCGGUGAAAUGCGUAGAGAUCGGGAGGAACAUCAGUGGCGAAGGCGGCCAUCUGGGACAACACUGACGCUGAGGCACGAAAGCGUGGGGAGCAAACAGGAUUAGAUACCCGAGUAGUCCCUGUCUCUUAUAC
rnacentral:rRNA from 1 species